rnacentral:rRNA from 1 species
GACGUAGGGCGCAAGCGUUGUCCGGAUUUAUUGGGCGUAAAGAGCUCGUAGGCGGCCUGUCGCGUCGACCGUGAAAACCCGCAGCUCAACUGCGGGCUUGCGGUCGAUACGGGCAGGCUGGAGUUCGGUAGGGGAGACUGGAAUUCCUGGUGUAGCGGUGAAAUGCGUAGAUAUCUGGAGGAACACCGGUGGCGAAGGCGGCAUCCUGGACCGAGAUUGACGCUGAUGCGCGAAAGCCAGGGGAGCAAACGGG